GGAGCACAUGGUGCAGGACUGCACUCAACUGGUGGCAAAUAUGGAGGAGGAGCUGCUCAGGUUCCUUACGGUAAUGCUCCAGUGAUUCCUACUGGACUGGAGGGAGAUGGCGGCUACCCGUAUCCUGCUCAGCAGCUCAACCUUGGUGCUGAAGGCACCAAAACCGCCAACAAAUAUGGAGCUGGAACAGGAUAUGGAGCUCAGCAAACAGGUUAUGGUGCACAGCUGGGAGCAACUCAAGAUGCUUUGGGAGAGCAAGCUGGCAAAUAUGGCGGAGUAAACGGUGCCCUUGGAAAUGGAUACAAAGGUUAAUUCAAAUGACCUGGACUUCUUUAAGUGGAUCAUUUCCAUAAUGUGUUCAGUGUAAUGUGUUUUAAAGCUUUUUGUGCGUUUCAUCUUAUUGGGUCCUGUUGUGUUGUCUUGUGCUUUAUUUUUCGUAACCUCUGUGUCUUUCUCUGUAAGUGGACAUUUGUCUUGUUUGUCCAAAACCUGCAGUGCCCCACCAGUCUUAUUCUGUCAACACUGGAAAAAAAUGGUGGUGAUUGAUUUGCCUCAAUGUUUUAAAAUUAAAAUGAUGAUUCAACUGUU